rnacentral:tRNA from 1 species
GGGCGAUUAGCUCAGGAGGUCAGAGCGCCUGCUUGACAUGCAGGAGGUCGCUGGUUCAACUCCAGCAUCGCCCACCA